rnacentral:rRNA from 1 species
CCCAACUAUCCCUAUUAAUCAUUACGGUGAUCCUAGAAACCAACAAAAUAGAACCAUGCCGUCCUAUUUUAUUAUUCCAUGCUAAUCUAUUCAAGCACUAGCCCGCUUUAAGCACUCUAAUUUUUUCAAGGUAAUAGAUCUGCUUCCCCAACGCACUAAAUUAAUAGCAUGCUGGUUAUUCAGAAGGUAAGAAUCCAUCAAAUCAGUACGGACAGUUAAGCCCGACCAACUGACAAAUCCCGAAAUUCAAC